GGGGGUAUAGCUCAGUUGGUAGAGCGCCUGCUUUGCAAGCCGGAAGUUAGCGGUUUGAGUUCGGUUACCUUCC
rnacentral:tRNA from 1 species